rnacentral:rRNA from 1 species
UACAGAGGGGGCAAGCGUUAUUCGGAAUUAUUGGGCGUAAAGCGCGCGCAGGCGGCCUCGCGCGCCCGACGUGAAAGCCCCCGGCUUAACCGGGGAGGGUCGUUGGGGACGGCGGGGCUUGAGGGCGGGAGAGGGUGGUGGAAUUCCCGGUGUAGUGGUGAAAUGCGUAGAGAUCGGGAGGAACACCCGUGGCGAAGGCGGCCACCUGGGCCGACCCUGACGCUGAGGCGCGAAGGCGUGGGGAGCGAACGGG